GCCGCCGGCUGUGAUCGCGGCCGGAGUUCGCAGUGUCCCCUCCGCGGGGAGCCUCGUCCCCGCCCGUCUGAGUCGCUCCGGACCGUGCAGCGUCGGCUGAGGAGACCGCUCUCAUGGCCGCCACUCCACGUCGUGCAUAGAUGCGGGACCGGUGCGGCUGAUGGAGACGUCUGCCUCCCCCGCGGACCGGGUCGCACCAUGAUCGCCGUCUGCGCCGUGCUCCUGGCCAUUACACCCGCCAUCGGUCUGGAGACGCCGCGCGGUCGUCACGUGACCGCCCUGGUCGGCCGGGACGUGGUGCUCGACUGUCCGCUCGUCUUUCCCCGCGGCGCGCACGUGCCCUACGUCAUCCAGUGGAGGA